CAAAAAUGAAAAUGCAUUUUUUUUGGUGGUGAAAAAGCAAAACAGGGACUUUUAAACCAUACCCUCUCUUAUAUAGACUAUCCACAUAAGUUUUAAAUGCAAAGCUUAUUUAUUUGAAGACUUCUAUUAGUUCAUAGCCUUCUCUUUCCGCCAGUGUCGUGUUGCUCCAUGGAGAAGUCUCUGGCGAAGCCUUAUCUUUUAGAUGGUGUUUGUCACAGAACCUGUAAGGCUGUGGAUGUUCGUCAGCUGAAAGUUGCAGGCAGUUGAACGAUAUGGACAGGUGAAGGCUCCAGAGGGAUCAGCUGGGCUAGCAUCGAGCUGGAGGGGCUUUGAAGUAGGAGAGAUCAAAUCAAAGAGAGUGGAGAGACAAGGAUUCCACCUGUGUGACAAAGCAGAGCCUGCCUUUAUCGUUGGUGAGUACACAUUUAGACAGAACAAAAGCAAGACUCAGUUAUGUUACAGUGCCUUGGGGUGCAUGCUGCAUUUCAAAUCCAGGCAUUAGCCUAUGUUUUAUAUGCUUUAUAUUCUACUUUAAUUGAAAUUUAUGCAUUUUCAGAGUGAGAUUUAGCAGAUAAAAGAGGAAAAAAGUAUUUCACAGAUAGUAUGUCUGAAUUUCAUAACUGUAUGUCUGCACUCCUGGCAGUCAUGGUUUGCAUUAAAAGGGUUAACAGGUAUGAUUUGCAUUGGGCUGGCCCAGCGAGAAAGUUUGUAUAUUGAGUAUGUGUUCUGUGCUGGAAAUGUUGGUCAUGGAAAUGGAAAUGUUAUUGAACAGAGUUUAUUU
rnacentral:lncRNA from 1 species